UGCUACGCAGAAAAACAAAUACCACAACUAGCGAUUGAACCCAAAGAAUUAAGGAAAACACAACGGGGUAAGAGACAAGAAAAAAAAUCCGAUAUGGGCAAACACAAAUUUAAUGCGUACUGCGUUCUUCUUUUUGUUUUCGACAGAUCGUUUUGAUUGUUCUCUGUUUUGUUUUUUUUUUUUUUUUUUGUAUGAUAGAUAGCGUAACCCUUACGAAACCCGGAAACUGAUACCAGAUGAUAUGAACUUGGCCGGUGAUUAUGGAGUUUCACCGGAAAACACAACAAUAACGUAAAAGAUAUGGGAAAUACCGAUCUAUUUGAUUUGUACGCGGAAG
rnacentral:lncRNA from 1 species